rnacentral:rRNA from 1 species
AGAGUUUGAUCCUGGCUCAGGAUGAACGCUGGCGGCGUGCUUAACACAUGCAAGUCGAACGGUGAAAGAGAGCUUGCUCUCUGGAUCAGUGGCGAACGGGUGAGUAACACGUGAGCAAUCUGCCCCUGACUCUGGGAUAACAGCUGGAAACAGCUGCUAAUACCGGAUACGAGUUGCGAAGGCAUCUUCAGCAGCUGGAAAGAAUUUCGGUCAGGGAUGAGCUCGCGGCCUAUCAGCUUGUUGGUGAGGUAAUGGCUCACCAAGGCGUCGACGGGUAGCCGGCCUGAGAGGGUGACCGGCCACACUGGGACUGAGACACGGCCCAGACUCCUACGGGAGGCAGCAGUGGGGAAUAUUGCACAAUGGGCGAAAGCCUGAUGCAGCAACGCCGCGUGAGGGACGACGGCCUUCGGGUUGUAAACCUCUUUUAGCAAGGAAGAAGCGAAAGUGACGGUACUGCA